rnacentral:rRNA from 1 species
UAAAACGUAGGAGACGAGCGUUAUCCGGAAUUACUGGGCGUAAAGCGCGAGUAGGCGGCUAUUUAAGUGGUCUGUGAAAGCGUCCGGCUCAACUGGACGAGGCCGGAUCAGACUGGAUGGCUAGAGGGUCAGAGAGGCAGGCGGAAUUCCGGGUGUAGUGGUGAAAUGCGUAGAGAUCCGGAGGAACACCAGUGGCGAAGGCGGCCUGCUGGCUGACAACUGACGCUGAGGCGCGAAAGCAUGGGGAGCGAACGGGAUUAGAAACCCCGGUAGUCCAUGCCGUAAACGAUGUCAACUAAGUGUUUGGGAAGCGAAAGCUUCCUGAGUGCUGAAGCAAACGCAUGAAGUUGACCGCCUGGGGAGUACGAUCGCAAGGUUA